UACGUAGGGUCCAAGCGUUAUCCGGAAUCACUGGGCGUAAAGAGUGCGUAGGCGGAUGUUUAAGUGCAAUGCGAAAUCCCGUGGCUCAACCACGUGGACUGUAUUGCAUACUGGAUAUCUGGAGGAAUGCAGAGGCAAGUGGAAUUACCGGUGUAGCAGUGAAAUGCGUAGAGAUCGGUAGGAACACCAAUGGCGAAGGCAGCUUGCUGGGCAUUUUCUGACGCUAAGGCACGAAAGCGUGGGGAGCGAACAGG
rnacentral:rRNA from 1 species